rnacentral:lncRNA from 1 species
AGACAUGAGACAUCAAUCAACACAUGUAGGAUGAACAUUGGUUCGGUCUGGAAAGGCGGGACAACUCGAAGCAAAGGCAGGAAGACUCGAAGCAGACGGGGGCUUCCAGGUCAUAGGAAGUCAUGAGCGAAGAGACCGUGAGCCUCUCCCAAACCCCGCAUGUGCUGACAUCUCCACGUGUGCUGUGUCCUGGGUAGGCUUUCUUCAUAGACCGUGCUUCCGUCUGUCUGGAGUUUCCGCUUCAUCCAUCUGUCCACAGGGAGGACGCACACCCCUGAGUCCGAGGCCACACCACGCAUUCUGUAGAAACUCUCACUGCCCAGGGAGCACACUUUAUUAGGAAAGCUCCAGGUUCACAGAGGCUCUGGGCUCUCUCUGGGCCCGACGCCCUUCACUGUUUGAACUCAGCAGCUGCCUGCAGGUGCGGAGGACAUGCACCUUCCAGCCUUUGUCCUUUCCUGGCCUUCUCGUCAAUCUUACCGUCUGUCGGCCCUAAGUGGAUGCUCGGGUAAGUAAGUCCGUA